rnacentral:rRNA from 1 species
UACGAAGGGGGCUAGCGUUGCUCGGAAUCACUGGGCGUAAAGGGUGCGUAGGUGGCUUAGUAAGUCAGUGGUGAAAUCGUCCGGCCCAACCGGACACGUGCCAAUGAUACUGCUGAGCUCGAGUGCGUGAGGGGUAGGGGGAACGAGCAGUGUAGCGGUGAAAUGCGUAGAUAUUGCUCGGAAGGCCAAAGCCGAAGGGACCCUACUGGUGCGCAACUGACACUGAGGCACGAAAGCGUGGGGAGCAAACAGG